UAAAAGCUGUGCUGAUGCCUCCCAGACGAGCCUCGUUGGAAGCACAGAACCUUCACGGCUCGGAGCCGCUGACACCGUGACAAAGGGAGCCCUGCUCAGGAGAAAGAGCAAAUGAGAGGCAGUUGCACUUUUUCAGGUGUCAGGCUGGAGGAAGCCACUUGAAGAUGAAUCUACCUCUGCCUUAGGAUUGCCUGAUGGCCUGUGCCAUUCCAUGUUAUAUCUACUGAUUUGCUCCCUGUAUUCAAAGAUUUUUUUUUUUUACUUAAUUCUCUCUUACUGACCCUGAGAGUGACCAUAUUUUUAACCAAUUUGGUCUUCAGCCUCAAAACUUAGCUCUUUCCUUUUGUGGUCCCCGAAUCCUAUCACGUGUCAUGGUGGCUGUGAAGAUGUUUGCCAAGCCUGCUGAGAAGGCUCAUCUGUGGCAUCCAAAAGCAGAGAUUUCAACUCUGGACCCCUGUGACCUGCCUUUGUAAUUAUGGAUACCCAGCACUGUUUUGAAAUAUCAGUGGACAUCCAGUUUUUAAAAGCCCUCAGAGCUUUGGGAGACACCCCUUUAUCUCUCUGGCAUGUCAGAGAACCGAUUCAACCCUUCUCAUCUCCUCCUCCUUCCCUCUCUUGGGCCAUCAGGAUGCGGCAGCAACUCACUGUGCAUGUUUUUACAGCUCUUCUCCAGUAAUGCUGCCAUUUCCACUGCAGACCACAGGAUAAAAGGACCGCUUCACCGUGGCCCAGGAUACCCUUUUAAGUAGGAGGCUCAGUUGGAUCUCCAAGUGGCGGUACCGUUCUCU
rnacentral:lncRNA from 1 species